GCCUGGGUGGCUCAGUUGGUUGAGCGUCUGACUUCGGCUCAGGUCUCUAUCUCACAGUCCAUGGGUUCGAGCCCCACAAAAGGCU
rnacentral:tRNA from 1 species